UGUCUAAAAUGUUGAUUUUUAUUAUUUUUGCCAUUAUUCAAAGCGACCUGUCACUGCAUAGAUGCACCGUUGGAUCAAUGGAUGGGUUAAGUACGAGUUUAAUUUUCUGUUUUUUUCAUUAGAGUGGUUUUUUUCCCAAGUCACUUUUUCUCACUAACAUGUGAAUGAAGUGGCACACACAUUCCUCUUUUGGGUGACUCGCCUUCACAACAUUCCCUACAGUAUGUCUAGGUGUGAUGUGGAAGACUGACCAAGCUCGCGCCAUCAUUAUACAUUGUGGGGACUGUGAUUUGUCAUAUUACGUAUAAGCUACCGUGUGGAAAAAGUGUCGCUGCCUACACCUGGUUUCUGAUAGUAUUUUGGUUGCUGUAGGAUCCUUCUAAAGGUCACAGAUACCCAGUGAUAAAGCAUAACCGUCUCUGGAACAUGUUCAGAUGUUAAACUCCAACCGAAAGGGGGACACACGUUGCACCAUCCAUCCAACCACCCAUCUGGAGACCCGGGAGCUGGAGCGGAAUUUUAGGUAAGGAAGUUUUAUGGAUUUUGCUGUGGCGAGUGGCCCCUGAACGAGGCCCUUAACCCCCAGCUCCAGGGGGGCUGCAUGUUAGCUGACCGUGUUAUAAGACCCCCCCCCCCCCAAGCUAUGGAGACUAAGACGGGGUCGGCAAAGACAAGCAUUCCAAUGUACCUGUGCAAAUGGCAAAUAAAGCAUGCUUAUUUGUUUUGUCAUUGUAGUUUUACUUACUAGUACUUAUAUAUAUUCACAUACUUUCAUAAAAAUAGGAAUCAUGCACACAUCACAGCUAUGUCAGUGUCCUACAAUGCUGGAUAAUCAAUGGGCACGCGUAGUAAAACCCAGUCACUGCACCAUUGAAUUUAAGGUGCAAAGAAGGAAAAAUCUUUAACGAAAUUAAAACACUGUCUACUAUAGUUAUUGUACAAAAGUGACACUUGGCUUGUGGUUGUGGUUAAAUACCACUGUACAAGGAUAUAUAAAAAGCUAAACCAGCUUCCUUUUUUAAACAGGUAACUACUGCUUCAAGAGCAAGUAAGAAUCUGGGGAAUGUCUGAAAUUUGAAUAUCAAAUAUUUGAAUAUAAUGAAACCUAAACUUGGGGUUGGAGGCUGGGAGCAUUUUAAUAUCACAAGUGGAUGUGCUGAACCAGAUGUGUUUAUUACUUCAUAACCGCAAAGCAAAAUGCAGAAGUUGCCACUUCUCUACAGAAGAAAAACAACUGUACUGUAAAACUUACGAAAAUAGACAAAACAUACUGAAAAAUGCAUACGGGAGAACGACAUCUUUGGGCCACAGAAGUAUGGCAAUUAUUCAAAAUAGUCCAAGUUUCAGUCAUCACAUAGACUGCGCCGCAACCAUGACAACCCCCAUCAGUGUUUGUAUGACAGAUACUCGGGACCUUCUCUAACCCUGAUGCAAACUAAAGGAGCCUCCUGUCAGAUGCUCACAAACACAUGUUUCUAGACCACUUGCAUUCUUGCGUCAUCUCCACCGCCAGACCACGCAGAACCAAAACGCUUUCCUCGUUUUCAAAACGUGCACAGCAAGAUGAUGUUGUGGGUGUUAAAUGGGCUGUUUCUCCUCGCAGCUGUUGCUAAACAUUCAAAUUUACACAGAGAACGUGCACAGAUCAGCUACAUAUCUGCCCAGUACAGCAUCACAGUGAGCCAAGAACUGGGGAAAGUUCGUUCACCAGAGUUACUUUCAUCUAACUGGAGAAUACAGUUAGAUCAUUUAAAUUUUAAUGGUUUCACGAAACUAAAUGAGAAGAACUUGGCACAGGAGCAGCACCCUAGAGAAAUAAAACAGGCCUCAGUGCUUAUUGUACAAGACAGAACUAUAUGUUAACACGAGAAACACAAGAAAGUUCUCAAAAUCAGACCAAGAUAAAAUAUGACUCAAAACAAGAAUUUGGUGUUGAUCAGUCAAUUUGAAACUCUCACGAAUCUCACCAACUACAAAUUCUCAGAAAGGCAAUUGCUGUACAUUCUAUAAAUAGUGUUUGUCUUAUAAAAAUAAAAGUAGCAAAAAUUAA